UCUACGGGAGGCUGCAGUGGGGAAUAUUGCGCAAUGGGCGAAAGCCUGACGCAGCGACGCCGCGUGAGGGAUGAAGGUCUUCGGAUCGUAAACCUCUGUCAGCAGGGAAGAACGGUCACUGUGCUAAUCAGCAGUGAAUUGACGGUACCUGCAAAGGAAGCACCGGCUAAGUCCGUGCCAGCAGCCGCGGUAAUACGGAGGGUGCGUGCGUUAAUCGGAAUUACUGGGCGUAAAGCUCUCGUAGGCGGUAAGGCAAGUCAAGGGUGAAAUCCCCGCGCUCAACCUCGCUCCGCAGUUGAAACUGGCGUUCUUGAGUGGGCGAGAAGGAUGCGGAAUGCGUGGUGUAGCGGUGAAAUGCAUAGAUAUCACGCAGAACUCCGAUUGCGAAGGCAGCAUACCGGCGCCCAACUGACGCUGAAGUACGAAAGCGUGGGUAUCGAACAGGAUUAGAUACCCGUGUAGUC
rnacentral:rRNA from 1 species